AAAUAACACAAUUUUAAAUUCUUGUAUUCACACGCUUUUUCUUUUUAAAAUUGAAAAGUACACAUCGUGGUACAAUAAAAUCCGUAUAGACGCCUUUAUGUAAAAAAGGAGCGACAGAUACCAGAGGGUUAUUCAAACUCAUAGAUCCAAAUAAACUGACAACAGCAUAGCUAAAAAGGAAAAAAAACAGAAAAAUAAUAGUACACAAGACACAACAUAGAAAACUAAAGGUUACGCAACA
rnacentral:lncRNA from 1 species